UGGGGAAUAUUGGACAAUGGGGGCAACCCUGAUCCAGCGAUGCCGCGUGUGUGAAGAAGGCCUGCGGGUUGUAAAGCACUUUAGUUGGGGAGGAGAAGGUUCGUAUGAAUAAUGAGGACUGGAGACGUUACCCAAAGAAUAAGCACCGGCAAACUCUGUGCCAGCAGCCGCGGUAAUACAGAGGGUGCAAGCGUUAAUCGGAGUUACUGGGCGUAAAGGGCACGUAGGUGGUUAUAUAAGUCAGUUGUGAAAUCCCCGGGCUUAACCUGGGAACUGCAGCUGAUACUGUGUGACUAGAGUCGAAGAGAGGGAAGCGGAAUUUCCGGUGUAGCGGUGAAAUGCGUAGAUAUCGGAAGGAACAUCUGUGGCGAAGGCGGCUUCCUGGAUUCAGACUGACACUGAGGUGCGAAAGCGUGGGUAGCGAACAGGAUUAGAUACCCAAGUAGUCCCUGAGCGGGCUGGCAAGGCGCAU
rnacentral:rRNA from 1 species